UACGGGGGGAGCAAGCGUUGUUCGGAUUUAUUGGGCGUAAAGAGCUCGUAGGCGGCUCGUUGCGUCGGCUGUGAAAACCCGCAGCUCAACUGUGGGCUUGCAGCCGAUACGGGCGGGCUGGAGUUCGGUAGGGGAGACUGGAAUUCCUGGUGUAGCGGUGAAAUGCGCAGAUAUCAGGAGGAACACCGGUGGCGAAGGCGGGUCUCUGGGCAGUAACUGACGCUGAGGAGCGAAAGCGUGGGGAGCGAACAGG
rnacentral:rRNA from 1 species